rnacentral:rRNA from 1 species
CCGCGGUAAUACGUAGGGUGCAAGCGUUAAUCGGAAUUACUGGGCGUAAAGCGUGCGCAGGCGGUUUGUUAAGACAGAUGUGAAAUCCCCGGGCUCAACCUGGGAACUGCAUUUGUGACUGGCAAGCUAGAGUCUGGCAGAGGGGGGUGGAAUUCCGCGUGUAGCAGUGAAAUGCGUAGAUAUGCGGAGGAACACCGAUGGCGAAGGCAGCCCCCUGGGCCAACACUGACGCUCAUGCACGAAAGCGUGGGGAGCAAACAGGAUUAGAUACCCUGGUAGUCCACGCCCUAAACGAUGUCAACUAGUUGUUGGGGAUUCAUUUCCUUAGUAACGUAGCUAACGCGUGAAGUUGACCGCCUGGGGAGUACGGUCGCAAGAUUAAAACUCAAAGAAAUUGACGGA